GGAAGAAUAUCCUGGUGCACUUGGAAAUGGAAGAUGGUAAAAACCCUAAACUUAUUACAUUUUUCAUUUUUUAAUGAUUAAAAGCUUGAAUUUGAGUAUUUUGGGUUUUUUUUUAAGGUACGCAACACAAGUAACCUUAGGCGAUGGUAGAUUCAUGGUGUUCGGCGGUCGAGAUUUCCCAACAUACGAAUUUGUUCCUCUACAAGGCCAGAAAAACACCCUUAAGGAUGUGGUCGAUUUUAAUUUCUUGGUGGAAACACACGAUCCCGUGGAAAAUAAUUUGUACCCUUUCGUUUACCUUUCGACUGAUGGAAAUGUCUUCAUCUUCGCUAACAAUCGUUCGGUUCUUUUGAACCCUAACACCCAAACGAUCAUCCACGAGUUCCCAGUGCUCCCCAAUGGUGCUCGUAAUUAUCCUGCGUCAGGAAGUGCUUGCCUCCUUCCGAUCAUGCUCAAGCCUAAUGAAGAUCGUAGAGUGAUCCCCGCCGAGGUUUUGAUAUGCGGUGGUGCAUCACAUGAUGCGUACGCCAAGGCCGAUUUGCAGCGUCCUAAAGUGUUUUUGCCAGGGAACACCGACUGUGCUCGCCUUGAUAUCACCAAAAGGAAUGGCAAAUGGAAGAUCAUAAACAUGCCAUCAGCUCGUCUAUUGGGAGACAUGGCCGUUUUACCAACAGGAGAUGUGCUUAUUGUUAACGGUGCCAAGACUGGUUCAGCUGGUUGGGAUGAUGCUAGGGAGCCGAAUUUGAACCCUGUUUUGUACAAAUAUCAAACCGAUGGAACUGGUUCCAAAUUCACUGUGCUUAACCCAUCCAACAUCCCCCGCAUGUACCACUCCUCGUUCGCCCUCCUUCCCGACGCAAAAAUCCUCAUCGCCGGAAGCAACACAAACCCUGGUUACCUCGAUGAUGCAUUGUUCCCCACUGAAGUCCGGGUUGAGAAAUUCUCACCACAUUACUUGGACCCAAACUUGGCCAUGUUCCGACAAGAUAUCAUUGUUGACAAGUCCAAUAACCAAGUGAAGUACGGCAAAAAAUUCACAGUACAAAUCCGUGGAAAUGGCGAAAUUGACCAACAAAAGCUUCAAGUGACGAUUUACUCACCUCCGUUUGUGACCCAUGGGAUCUCCAUGAAUCAGAGAUUGAUUCAAUUGGGAAUUGUGGAAUUUAACAAAAAUGUUACCUCAAAUACAAACAACAUUAUUCUUCAAGCUCCCAUGAAUGGCAACAUUGCGCCACCUGGUUAUUACAUGCUCUUCGUAAACUACAAUGGGGUGCCUUGCCGCCAAUCGAUGUGGGUUCAAUUUUUGCCAUAGAUAUUUCACUGGAAGCAUUGAAUCGCAAAGCCGUUAUAUGAAAUUAUUAUAUUCUCUUAUAAAGAAAAAUUAAUGAAUCACUUUGUUCACGUUUUGUUGCACACAUUAUUCUUUUAAAGAUCAUAUACAAUACAAAAUGUGGACUAUUGGAUUUAUUUAUUUGCAAUUUCUUUUCUCCACUGAUUAGAUUUUUAUUAUAUAUAUUUAGAUUUUUUAUUCAAAAUUAAAUUUAUUUAAAAGUUUAAUAUCUAAAAUUGACUAAUGGAAAAAGAAAUAUUACAUGAUUUGUUUAUUUUCAAGAUUAAAUAGAAAUUCAUUUUGUAAAAUUAUAUAUAAAAAAAAAACAAAUCUUGAAUUUGAUUUUUUUCAUUAAAAGUUCUUACUGUUAGUGGUGUUCGCGAUUCUCUAGUGGAUUGCCUCGCAUUAAUACCUACAACUUCUCCCAAUUCAACUAGGUCACCAUGAGUGGGGCUUCGACAAUAUCAUAAUAGUGAUAUGUCUAAAUUGCAAGUUGAUAUGACAUUACUAGUAAUAAUAUGUUUGUAAUAUGAUAUUUUGGAAAUAUUAGAAUUGAACUUAAUUAAUUUAUCAUUUACUGUUUGAUCAUGAUUAAAAUUUUAAAAUUCACAAAGCAUAAGACUAAAAUUAAGGUGUGGGACUAAAUCCAUAAUUUAAAUAUAAUAUAGGGAUUAAUAGCAAAAUUUAACCUUUUAUUAACUAAUCUUCUUGUAAACACGGAGUGCUAAUAAAAAAAACCCAAAAUAUUUUUAUUAAGGUCAAAUUCUACUAAAUACUAUAUCGAUAUGAAAAGUUCAUAAUCUUAGUUGCGUCCCCAAUUCUCCAAUAGAUUGCCCCACAAUAAUACCUACAACUUCUCCCAAUUCAAUUACGUCAUUGUGAGUGGGGCUCUGACCAUAACAUAAUAGUGAUAUGUGAAAAUAGCAAGUUGAUAUAACAUUAUACAUAAUAAUAUGUUAGUAGCAUCAUGUUUUGGAAAUAAUAGAAUUGACCUUAAUGAAUUUAACAUUUAUUCUUUGAUCAUGAUUAAAAUUUUAAAAUUCAUAAAGCAUAUGACUAAAAUUAGAGUGUGGGGACUAAAUCCAUAAUUUAAACAUAAUAUAGGGACUGAUAGUAAAAUUUAACAUUUUAUUAACUAACCUUCUUGUAAACAAGGAGAGCUAAUAAAAAAAACCCAAAAUAAUUUUAUUAAGGUCAAAUUCUACUAAAUACUCUGCCAGUAUGAAAAGUUCCUAAUGUUAGUAGCGUUCCCGAUUCUCCAAUGGAUUGGCCCACAGUAAUACCUACAACUUCUCCCAAUUCAACUAGAUCACCUUGAGUGGGGCUCUGACCAUAACAUAAUACUGAUAUGUGAAUAUAACAAGUUGAUAUAACAUUACAUAUAAUAAUAUGUUAGUAGUAUCAUAUUUUGGAAAUAAUAGAAUUGAACUUAAUGAAUUUAACAUUUUUUUGUUUGAUCAUGAUUAAAAUUUUAAAAUUCACAAAGUAUAUGACGUACUAAAAUUAAAGUGUGAGGACUAAAUCUAUAAUUUAAACAUAGUAUAGGGACUGAUAAUAAAAUUGAACCUUUUAUUAACUAAUCUUCCUCUAAACAAGGAACUCUAUUAGAAAAAACCCAAAAUAUUUUUGUUAAGGUCAAAUUCUACUAUUUGUUCAUUAAAUCCAUUAACUAACUUUUUCAUGAGUGAAAUAUCAAGUUAAUAUAGCAAUACAAAUAUGAUAUAAUAUUUUGGAAAUAAAAAAAAUUAACUAAAUGAAUUUAAUAGUUACAGUUUAGUCAAGAUUAAAAUUUUAAAAAUGAAAAAGUACAGGGACUAAAAAUGAUCAAAUUAAAGUACAAGAGCUAAAUUCAUUAUUUACACAUAAUAUAGGGACUAAUAGCAAAAUUUAACCUUUUUAUUAACUAAACUUCCUCUAAACAAGGAACAAUAAAGGGACUAACAACAAAAUAUUUAACAUUUUACUAACUAAUCUUCCUUUAAACAAAGAGCAAUCACUAAUUUUCCCUAAAUUUCAUGCACUUCGAAUCGGGAAAAUGCAUAUAAAAGGAGAUGGAACCCAUUGUGAAAAAACCAAGCAGUAGAUCCAUAUAAUAAAAAAAGUUAGGUUAUAAGUUAUAUAGUUAAAUAAUAAAAUGAUGGCGUCGUUGUUUUGGAGAGGUCUUAUUAUAUUACCUCUCCUUUUUGUAUAUGUCAACGGCGAGCAUUUUUUGUACCCUAAACGUCAUGUUGGCAAAGCCGAGUUAGCCGGUUACAAGGGGCCAGACUCACUGGCCGUUGAUGGUGGUGGUUUUUAUAGUGGUCCCUUGAUUGCCGAUGACGAUGGAUCUGCUGCUGGCGGUAAUGCUGGUGGAACUACUGAGGUGAAGGUUGAAAACCUUGGAAAGGUCGACGGUGAUAAUACUAAUGGCAAUGCAAAUAGUGUCGAAUCAACUCAAGUUGCUGCCAAAAAUGGAAUUAGCAACGGAAAUAUUGUGGAGGCUAAAACUACGUUUAAAGGGAGUUGGGAAGUAUUUGUUGAGAACGCCGGUGUUUCCGCCAUGCAUUUGAUAUUGCUUCCUAAGAUCAACCAAGCUUUGAUGUUCGAUGCCACAGUGUGGAAAAUCUCAAAGAUGAAAUUACCGGGACCGCCGUGCCGACGUAUCGAGGGAACCAAUGAAGAAGAUUGCUAUGUUCAUUCGAUUCUUAUGGACGUUGAAACAGGAAAGAUUAGGCCACUUAGGGUACGUUUUUCUAAUUUUAUUUUGUUUAGUUAUUAUUAGAUGGACGGAGCCUCAAAGAGGAAAAAAAACACAAUUUUUUAUUUGCAAAACUCGAAAAUAAUUUGCUUUAAAAAGACAUUAAACUAGUUACAAUUUCUUACAAUUUUAUGUUUUUUUAACAUUUUCAUUUUCUUUGUUAUAGUUGAACUAUGACACUUGGUGUUCAUCGGGUGCCCUUGAUAUCAAUGGUCGAUUGGUAAGUACUGGCGGUUAUAACAAUGGCUCUGACACCGUGAGAAUCCUUGACUUAUGCGAUACUUGUGGGUGGGAAGAAUAUCCUGGUGCACUUGGAAAUGGAAGAUGGUAAGAACCCUAAACUUAUUACAUUUUUCAUUUUUUUAAUGAUUAAAAGCUUGAAUUUGAGUAUUUUGGUUUUUUUUUUAAAGGUACGCAACCCAAGUAACCUUAGGCGAUGGUAGAUUCAUGGUGUUCGGCGGUCGAGAUUUCCCAACAUACGAAUUUGUUCCUCCACAAGGCCAGAAAAACACCCUUAAAGAUGUAGUCGAUUUUAAUUUAUUGGUGGAAACACACGAUCCCGUGGAGAACAAUUUGUACCCUUUCGUUUACCUUUCGACUGAUGGAAAUGUCUUCAUCUUCGCUAACAAUCGUUCGGUUCUUUUGAACCCUAACACCCAAACGAUCAUCCACGAGUUCCCAGUGCUCCCCAAUGGUGCUCGUAAUUAUCCUGCGUCAGGAAGUGCUUGCCUCCUUCCGAUCAUGCUCAAGCCUAAUGAAGAUCGUAGAGUGAUCCCCGCCGAGGUUUUGAUAUGCGGUGGCGCAUCACAUGAUGCGUACGCCAAGGCCGAUUUGCAGCGUCCUAAAGUGUUUUUGCCAGGGAACACCGACUGUGCUCGCCUUGAUAUCACCAAAAGGAACGGCAAAUGGAAGAUCAUAAACAUGCCAUCAGCUCGUCUAUUGGGAGACAUGGCCGUUUUACCAACAGGAGAUGUGCUUAUUGUUAACGGUGCCAAGACUGGUUCAGCUGGUUGGGAUGACGCUAGGGAGCCGAAUUUGAACCCUGUUUUGUACAAAUAUCAAACCGAUGGAACUGGUUCCAAAUUCACUGUGCUUAACCCAUCCAACAUCCCCCGCAUGUACCACUCCUCAUUUGCACUCCUUCCUGACGCAAAAAUCCUCAUUGCUGGAAGCAACACGAACCCCGGUUACCUCGAUGAUGCAUUGUUCCCCACUGAAGUCCGGGUCGAGAAAUUCUCACCACAUUACUUGGACCCGAACUUGGCCAUGUUCCGACAAGAGAUCAUUGCCGAGAAGUCCAAUAACCAAGUGAAGUACGGCCAGAAACUCACAGUACAGAUCCGUGGAAAUGGAGAAAUCGACCAACAAAAACUUCAAGUGACGGUUUACUCACCACCAUUUGUGACCCAUGGGAUCUCCAUGAAUCAGAGAUUGAUUCAAUUGGGAAUUGUGGAAUUUAACAAAAAUGUUGCUCCAAAUACAAACAACAUUGUUCUUCAAGCUCCCAUGAAUGGCAACAUUGCGCCACCUGGUUAUUACAUGCUCUUCGUAAACUAUAAUGGGGUGCCUUGCCGCCAAUCAAUGUGGGUUCAAUUUUUGCCAUAGAUAUUUCACUGAAAGCAUUGAAUCGUCGAAGUCGUUAUAUGUAAUUAUUAUAUUUUUUAUAAAUAAAAAUAUUUGAAUCACCUUGGUCACAUUUUGUUGCAUACAUUAUUGUUUUAAAGAUCAUAUACAAUAUAAAAUGUGGACUAUUGGAUUUAUUUGUUUGUGAUUUCUUUUCUCGUCGUGACCUUAGUUAGAUUUUUAUGAUUUAUAUUUCGAAUUUUAUAAUUUUUAUGAAUCGCUUAAAUUUAUUUAAAAGUUUAAUAUUUAAGUAGGACUCAUGGAAAAGGAAAUAUUACAAGAUUUGUUUGUUUUCAAUAUUAAAUAGAAAUGCAUAUCGAAGUUAUAUAUAAAAUUUAAAAUAUAUAAUUAAAAUAGUAAAAUAUUACACUAUCUAUUGAUUUUGAAGAAUAAAUAAAAUUCAUAUCAUAAAACCGUAUAAAAGUUUAAAAACAUCUAAUUAAAAUAUAAAAAAAUUAGUUUAAAAACGCAAUAUAAAAUCUUAUGAGAGUUCAAAAUUUUAAAUUAAAGAUAUUAAAAUAUUUAAAAUGAGAGUGGCUUAGUAAAUUAUAGAGGUGAUCAUGGGUCGGGCUCAACUAAAAAUUUAAGCCUAUUCAUUGGGUUCGGGCCGGGCCAGACCCAAAAAAUGAGCUUAAAAUUUUGCCAAAGCCCAAUCCAAAUAAAAAUAUUAAAACCCGGACCCGGCCCAACCCGGCCGUAUUUAUUUUUAUAUUAUUUUAUAUAAUUUUUAAAUAUAUAUAAUACAUAAAAAAUACUAAAAAAAUUAAAAUAAAUAUUUUCCAACAAAUUGAAAAUAAAUUUUAAAAAAUAUGUAGACUUAAAUAACACUAAGAUAGAUGCAACUUAACAAGCAAAUACCUCUAAAAUAAUAAUAAAAUUAAUAAAUGCCUUUAAAGUAAUAAAAAAAUUAAUAAUAAAAUAAGAUUUAUACAAUAUCCAAAUAAUAACAACAAAAUAGGAGCAACUAAUAGUAAUAUGGUAGCAAAAUAGGGAGAAAACAACAAGAAAAUAACAUUAAAAAAAAUAGCAGAUUUUUUUUUCAUUUAGUGAAUACGGGCCGGCACGGGCCCCGAGGCCCAGCCCAUUUUUUAAACGGGCCUCAUUUUUUUGUCCAAGCCCAUUUUUCAGGCCUAUAUUUUUGCCCAAACCCUCCCACAUUUCGGGUGGGCCAUGAGCAGGUCUAGUAAAUUAUAUUGCAUUUUUAUUUUUAUUUGUUUUUAUUUAAUUAAAUCGUGCUAUCUCCUUUACAAUGUAUUAAAUCGUGUUAUCAUACCCACAGUAAAUGUCGAGGCUAAAGUGUAUAUUUUUAUCACAGUAAAAUUUAAAAGUUUACAUAUUUAUAAUUUUUAAAUGAUUAGUUUUUUUUUCAUUUUUGAAAGGGAUAAAGUGCAAUUUUAUCAUUACUAAUUUAAAAUUUUAUAAAUUAUAAAGAGUCUAAAUGAAAAUUUUCCCAUUUUAGGUGGGUCGGGGCCCCUGCCAGCCCUCUUGACUUUGCCACUGCUUGGUGGUUAAGCUUUAUUGUGGUAACAAUAUUAUAGGGAGGUCCUGAGAAAAAUAGCUCGAUGCCAAUUGUAUAAAGUUAUAAAUUUAGUCCAUAUUCUCUAAUUGGAUUACUUUUUUUAGUCUCUAUACUUUUUAAGUUCUGAAAUUUAUUGACACAAAUGACAAUCAUUAAAUCCAUCAACUUUUUUAGAGUAAUGCAUAAAAAUAGCAAGUUGACAUGAUAUUACAUAUAUGAUAUUAUAUUUUAAAAAUAACAUAAUUUAACUAAAUGAAUUUAACAAUUACCAUUUAGUCAAGACUAAAAUUUUAAAAAUUGAAAAGUAUAGGGACAAAAAAUAUCAAAUUAAAGUUUAAGGACUAAAUUCACAAUUUAAAUAUAAUACAGGAAUUAAUAGCCAAAUUUAACAUUUUAUUAACUAAUCUUCCUAUAAACAAGGUGAGAUCACUAAUUUCUCCUGAAAUUCAUGAACUUUGAAACAUAAAAAUGUAUAUAAAAGGCAACGAAAUCCAUUCUGAAAAAACGAAGAAGAUGAUUCACAGAAUAAAAAACAAGUUAGGUUUUGCAUUGUUUAUCUAAAUAAUAAAAGAUGGGAUUGUUUUGGAGAGUUCUUAUUAUAUUACCUCUCUUUUUUGCAUAUGUCAACUGUGAAUACUUUACGUACCCUUCCCGUCAUACUGGCAAAGCCGAGUUAGCCGGUUUCAAGGGGCCGGACUCUCUUGCUACCGAUGGUGGCGGUUUCUUUAGCGGUCCCUUGGUUGUCAAUGAUGAUGUAACUGCUACUCCCGGCAACCAAGGUGGAACUACUGAAGUGACAGUUGGAAAGCCCGGAGACGAUAUCCUCGAUGCGUCUCUAGCUGAUGGCAAUGAUGGAGUUGGCAAGGCAAAUAUGAUUGAGGCUGCAACUACGUUUAAAGGGAGUUGGGAAUUGUUCCUUGAGAAUGGCGGUGUUUCCGCCAUGCAUUUGAUAUUACUUCCUAAGAUCAAUCAAGCUUUGAUGUUUGACGCCACAGUGUGGAAGAUCUCGAAGAUAAAAUUACCAGGACCGCCAUGCCGACACGUCGAGGGAACCAAUGAAGAAGAUUGCUUUGCUCAUUCGGUUCUCAUGGACAUUGAUACAGGAAAGCUUAGGACACUUAGGGUACGUUUUUUUAAUUUUAUUUUGCUUAGUUAUUACUGGUAUCUAACCCCAUUAUUUAAGAUCAAUAUUUUUUUAAAAAAUAUUAUAGUUUGAGACGAGAUGUAACAUCAAUAGUAGUUGGAUGGAGCCGAAGAGGGAAAAAAAACUCUUUCAAUUUUUUAUUUGCAUUAUGAUUUCUUACAAUUUUAUGUUUUUUUUAACAUUUUCAUUUUCUUUGUUACAGUUGAAAUAUGACACUUGGUGUUCAUCAGGUGGUCUUGAUAUCAAUGGUCGAUUGGUAAGCACUGGUGGUUAUAACAAUGGCUCCGACACCGUGAGAAUCCUCGACUUAUGUGAUACUUGUGAUUGGAAAGAAUAUCCCGGUGCACUUGCAAAUGGAAGAUGGUAAGAACCCUAAAUUUUAUUACAUUUUUUUCUUCAUUUUUUUAAUGAUUAAAAGCUUGAAUGGUUGGGGGGUUUGAAGGUAUGCCACACAAGUAACCUUAGGUGACGGUAAAUUCAUGGUGUUCGGAGGUCGAGAUUUCCCGACAUACGAAUUUGUUCCGCCAGAAGGCAAGAAAAACACCCAUCAAGAUGUGGUCGAUUUCAAGUUCUUGGUGGAAACACACGACCCCGUAGAGAAUAAUUUGUACCCUUUCGUUUACCUUUCGACUGACGGCAACGUCUUCAUCUUCGCUAACAACCGUUCAGUUCUUUUGAACCCUAACACCCACAAUAUCAUCCACGAGUUCCCGGUGCUCCCUAAUGGUGCUCGAAAUUAUCCUGCGUCAGGAAGUGCUUGCCUCCUUCCGAUCAUACUCAAGCCUAAUGAGGACCGCAGAGUGAUCCCCGCUGAAAUUUUGAUAUGCGGUGGAGCACCGCACGAUGCGUAUGAAAAAGCUGAUUUGCAGCGUCCUAAGGUGUUUUUGCCCGGGAGCAGUGAUUGUGCUCGCCUUGAUUUCACCAAAAGGAACAGCAAAUGGAAGAUCUUAAACAUGCCGUCAGCUCGUCUGUUGGGAGACAUGGCGGUUCUUCCAACAGGAGAUGUGCUUAUUGUUAACGGUGCAAAGACCGGUUCAGCCGGUUGGGAUGACGCCAGGGAGCCGAAUUUGAACCCUGUUUUGUACAAAUUCAAAACCGAUGGAACUGGCUCCAAGUUCACCGUGCUUAACCCAUCCAACAUCCCUCGCAUGUACCACUCAUCGUUCGCUGUCCUCCCUGACGCAAAAGUCCUCAUCGCUGGAAGCAACACGAACCCAGGUUACCUCGAUGACGCAUUGUUUCCCACUGAAGUUCGGGUCGAGAAAUUCUCGCCACAUUAUUUAGACCCUAACUUGGCCAUGUUCCGACAAGAGAUUAUCGCCGAAAAGUCCAAUAACCAAUUGAAGUAUGGCCAAAAAUUCACAGUGCAGAUCCGAGGAAACGGUGUAAUCGACCAACAAAAACUUCAAGUGACGAUGUACUCGCCGCCGUUUGUGACCCACGGAAUCUGCAUGAAUCAGAGAUUGAUUCAAUUGGGAAUUUUGGAAUUUAAUAAAGAUGUAGCCCCAAAUACAAAUGACAUUGUUCUUCAAGCUCCCAUGAAUGGCAACAUUGCGCAACCUGGUUAUUACAUGCUCUUCGUGAACUACAAUGGGGUGCCUUGCCUUCGAUCGAUGUGGGUACAAAUUUUGCCAUAAAUAUUUCAUUGGAAGCAUUGAAUUGUUGAAGAAACUAUAUGUAAUUAUUUUAUUUAUAUAUAUAUAUAAAUAUAUGAAGUACUCUAUUUACAUUUUUAUUGUACCCACUAUUGUUUUGAAGAUCAUAUGAAGAAUUUAAUUUGUAAUAACCUAAUUUUUAGUGGUGUCGAAAAUAGAGGUUUGAGACCACUAAAUCCAACGAGUGAGUUUGAAAAUUUUAUUAAUUAAUUAUUUAUGAGUCAAAUAUGAAUUUAGAAAGAUUCUUGGAAUUAGAACUUUGUGUUUUAGAAGAAUUUAUUAGAUUAAUUGGUUUUGGAAACGAGGCAUCGAGAUCUCGAUUUUACAAACCGAGUUGUAAAUAUUUUUAUAAAUAUUUACGGAGUGUCAAUAAGUUAGUAUUAAAGUUUCAUUAGAAAAUUUUAAUGUUUUGAUAGUUAAUAAAAUAAAAAAGACUAAAUUGAAAAAAAUGUAAAACUUGCUAAUUAAAGAUAUAGUGAUUAAAUAGCUUAAGUGGAGAAUGAGGGAGGACCGAAAAGGUCAUUCGGCACUAAUUAAAAGGUUUGGACAGUAUAAGCAGAGAAAAAUCUUGAAAUUGGAUGGUUUAGGGACAAAAUGGUCAUUUUGGAAAUUAAGGUAAAAAUAAAAAUAGUGACCAAGUUAAAAAUCUAGACAUUUUUCAUCAAUAUUUAGCCAAAAACAGCUAUAGAAGAGUUCCUCUAAGCUGGUUUUUCAUAUUUUUGCUACAAGUGAGUUCAAUUCUUGCAUUUUUUUGUAAUUUUUGUGUUUUUAAGACUUUUACAAUCGGGUACAACUAUCUAUUUCAUUAGUUUUUUAUUUCAUGGGUGAUUUUGAAAGUUACCAUUGAUGAAUGUUGGAUAUUUAUGAUGAGUUAACAUGGAUUUGAAACUUUAAUUUCAUUAUAUGAUGAUUUUAAUAAGUGAAUUUGAUAGAUAUUGAUUUUAGGAAUAAAUUGUGAAGAAUUUAAGAAUUAGGGUUUGUUAUUAAAUUUUUUAUGUAUCAAAGGCUGUAAAAUAGCCUAAAAUACUUAGGUAAAUUUCCAAUUGAGAAAAAUUAGCUUAUUUGAUAGGCUAAUUGAUGAGGGAUUAAAUUGUAAAAACUAUAAAAUUUAGGGUAAUUGUGUAAUUUCAAAAAUUAAAGGAUAUAAGCUGUAAAGUGGAUUGAAAUUGAAAUUUAUGCUAAUGAAUAAAUGAUUUUAUAUUUUAUAUCAAGAGUCCAAAGAUAAAUGAGAAAAAGGAAAAUUCGCCAAAUAGUUCUCAAACUACUACAAACUCCACAAUUUAGCGCAAGUAAGUUCGUUUGGUUAAAUUUUAAUGCUAAAUGUUAAAUUGAUGAAUGCUAUUAUGUAAUUAUUUAUAUCAUUUAAUGAAAAUAAAAUUUAUUGUUAAAUUAUAAAAAUUGAAUUGAUAGUGCAAGGCGAACGGAACGCGGGAUUGAAUACAGUCAUUCAGUGAAAAAGAGGAAUUGACAGUUAAUUACCCAAGUAAACUGGAGUUCAGUAUUUGUUCCAAACUUCCAUGUUUGAUUUCCAUUUAGCUCUCAUGAGCUUCAGUUAACUCAUAUAAAUUUCAGUUUAACCCUAAGGGUUUUCCGUUUAGCUCUUUUGGAGCUUCGGUUUAACCCUAUUGGGUUUCAGUUCAGCUCUUUUGAGCUUCAGUUUAACCCUUCUGGGUUUUCGUUCAGGUCUUAUGAGCUUCCGAUCUACCAUUAUGGAUUUCAGUUUAGCAUUUAUGUACUUCUGUGCAGCCUUCAGGCUUUCGUUUACGAUGUACUCAAAUCCGUAAGACGUUCUCUAAUUUGGCAAAGAUUGGUAAGUGCUAUAUGGAAUUAAUAUGGAAGAAUCUAAAAUAUUAUUGAUAUUGAACUCAAAUAAAUGAAUUCAUCAAUCGAAAUUAUGAUUAGCAAGAAAUUUUUGUGAAAUGAUUUACCUAAAUGAAUUAUUGUAGUAUAUUCGGUAAUAUAUAUUUAAAGCCAACGAACUUACUAACUAAGCUUUAUUAAGCUUACUAGUGUUGUUUAAUGUUCUUUGUAUAUUUUUAAGAAGUCGGGAGAUUGGAUUAGCACAUUAACCUACACUAUCCAACUAGUCAAGCAAAUUUUUCAAUGUAUAUUUUGGUUUAUAUAGCAUGUAUAGGGUAAUAAUGGUUUGUGUAAAUAUUAAGAUUUAUACUUUAUUUGCAUAUCAAACCAACUUACAAUAGUAUGGAUAAUUUAUGUAUUAAGCAUGUUUGAAAUGUUUGAUGAUAAACAAUCAAUAGGUUUAUUGAGGUAUGGUUUGAAAUAUUGAAUUUAGUAGCUUAUACACCUAGAUGUAAGUAGUUAAUUUGAUAAGUUAAGAUAUUUGAUUUAAUGUGACAAUAUGUUAGCUAUAAAAACUUGAUAUUGGCUUGAUUUAAAGGUCUUGUUAUGGUUAUUGAAUGUGAAAUUGGUUGUGCAUAGUUAAAACCAAGAUGGGGUGAGAAAAAUGGUCUUAAAAUGACCUCUUUUCGUCCAUACGGGGGUGUGUGUCUCAAUCAUGUGUGAAACUCGACCUGGCACAUAGGCAUAUGGUCUAGCCGUGUGUCCCCUACACCUUGAAAUUUUAAAACAGAAUGCCCAGAUUUUUACACACGGCCUAGCACACGGGCAUGUGACUUGGCCAUGUGACCCCUGCACCUUGGACACGGCCUAACACACGGGCGUGUAGUUGGCCGUGUGACACAAGUCAGAGAGUUACACGGGUAAGGACACAGGCUAGGACAUGGCUAUGUGCCCCACAUCGAAUGCCCACAUGGCCUAAGACACUGCGUGUCUCCUGGCCGUGUGAGCCACACGGGCUUGUCCCCUGUUUCUUAGAAAAAUUUUAAGAUUUUGGGAAAAAUUCUUUGAGUUUUUGAUUUGGUCUCGAUUUAUUUCUAACGCAUAUUUUGGGCCUUGAGGGCCUAUAAAAAGGAUGAUAUGAGUGUUAUACAAAUGAUUCUUGAUAUGUAUAUUAAUGGUUGUGAAAUGUUUGUAUUUAAUUCAUAAAGUCCGGUAAUGUUUCGUAACCUUAUUCCGGCGAUGGAUAAGGGUUAGGCGUGUUACAAAAUUUAUUUAAUUGUGAAUUUUUUUUCUUGUCCUCACUUUGACUACAUUUUUAUGAUUUAUAUUUCCAACUUAAAUUUAUUUAAAAUUUUAAUAUUUAAAACUUGACUCAUGGAAAAGGAAAUAUUACAUGAUUUAUUUAUUUUCAAGAUUAAAUAAAAAAGCAUUUUUUUAAAUUAUAUAAAAAUUAAAAAUUUAUAAUUAAAAUAUUAAAUAUUUAAAUGCUUUUUUUUUUCAUUUUAGGUGGGUCGGGGCCCUUACCUGCCCCCUUAACUCCGCCACUGCUUAGUGUUUAAACUUUAUUGCGAUAACAAUAUUGUAAGAGGUUUUGCGAAAAAAUAGCUCGAUGCCAAUUGUAUAAAAUUGUAAAUUUAAUCCAUAUUCUCCAAUUGGUAAAGGUGUUCAGUCGGUUAACCGACCCAAAAAAACAUUAUCCGAAUUAACCAACCCUUCAAAAUUUUUAACCGUUAAACGAACCGAAAUUUUUUCAGUUAAUUCGGUCGGUUAACCGAAUUAACUGAAAAUUAUAUAUUUUUUAAUUUUUUGUUAAAAUAAGUAUAAAAUUAACCGAAUUAAUCGAAUUACCUUAAUUACCCGAAGUACCCAAAUUAACCGAAUUAUUUGUAUAAAAUUAUAUAUUUUUUAUUUUUAGUUUUAGUUUUAGUUUUUUAUUUUUAUUUAUUAAAUUAUUUGUAAUUUUUAUGAUUGAGUUGGGUAAUUGGGUUGGGUUGGGUUGGGUACUUGGGUUAAUAUAUAUUAGAUUGGGUAUUUGGGUUUAUGUUGGAUUGGGUUUGAGUGAAUAGUAGACUAUUUAUAUAUUAUAAUUUUAUUUAUUAAUUUUUUCAGUUAAACCGAAAAAAUUCGGUUAACCGACCGAUUUCGAACCGAAUUAACCGUUAACCCAAAACUCAAAAAAUUAUUAACCGACCCCCGAUCGAAUUAUUUCGGUUAACCAACUGAUUAACUGAAUUCGGUCGGUUAACCGAAUUUUUUCGGUUUUACCCGAAUUUUGCACACCCCUACCAAUUGCAUCACUUUUUUUAGUUUCUAUGCUUUUCAAAUUCUGAAAUUUAAAUUUUGACACAAAAAACAAUCAUUAAAUCCAUCAACUUUUUUAGAGUAAUGGAUAAAAAUAAAAAGUUGACAUGGCAUUACACAUAUGAUAUUAUAUUUUAAAAUUAACAUAAUUUAACUAAAUGAAUUUAACAGUUACCAUUUAGUCAAGACUAAAAUUUUUAAAAUUGAAAAGUAUAGGGGCAAAAAAUAUCAAAUUAAAGUUUAAAGACUAAAUUCACAAUUUAAAUAUAAUACAGGAAUUAGUAGCCAAGUUUAACAUUUUAUUAACUAAUCUUCCUUUAAACAUGGUGAGAUCACAAAUUUCUCCUAAAAUUCAUGCACUUUGAAACGUAAAAAUGCAUAUAAAAGGCAACGAAACGCAUUUUGGAAAAACAAAGCAGAUGAUUCACAGAACAAAAAAAAAGUUAAAUUUUACAUUAUAUAUCUAAAUAAUAAAAGAUGGGAUUGUUUUGGAGAGUUCUUGUUGCAUUACCUUUCUUUUUUGCAUAUGUGAAUGGUGAACAUUUUACGUACCCUUCUCGUCAUCCUGGCAAAGCCGAGUUAGCCGGUUUCAAGGGGCCGGACUCUCUUGCUACCGAUGGUGGCGGUUUCUUUAGCGGUCCCUUGAUUGUUGAUGAUGAUGUAGCUGCUACUACAGGCAACCAAGGUGGAACUACCGAGGUGACGGUUGGAAAGCCCGGAGAUGAUACCCUCGAAACCUCUCUAGCCAAUGAUGGAAUUGGCAAUGCAAAUAUGAUUGAGGCUGCAACUACGUUUAAAGGGAGUUGGGAAUUGUUCCUUGAGAAUGGCGGUGUUUCCGCCAUGCAUUUGAUAUUGCUUCCUAAGAUCAAUCAGGCUUUGAUGUUUGACGCCACAGUGUGGAAGAUCUCGAAGAUAAAAUUACCGGGACCGCCAUGCCGACACGUUGAGGGAACCAAUGAAGAAGAUUGCUUUGCUCAUUCGGUUCUCAUGGACAUUGAUACAGGAAAGCUUAGGCCACUUAGGGUACUUUUUUUAAUCUUAUUUUGCUUAGUUAUUACUGGGAUCUAACCCCAUUAUUUAAGAUCAAUAUUUUUUAAAAAAAUAUUAUAGUUUGAGACGAGAUGUAACAUCAAUAGUAGUUGGAUGAAGCCUCAACGAGGGAAAAAAAAACUCUCGCAAUUUUUGAUUUGCUUCAUGAUUUCUUAUAAUUUUAUGUUUUUUUUAACAUUUUCAUUUUCUUUAUUAUAGUUGAAAUAUGACACUUGGUGUUCAUCGGGUGGUCUUGAUAUCAAUGGUCGAUUGGUAAGCACUGGCGGGUAUAACAAUGGCUCCGACACCGUGAGAAUCCUCGACUUAUGCGAUACUUGUGAUUGGAAAGAAUAUCCCGGUGCACUUGCAAAUGGAAGAUGGUAAGAAUCCUAAAUUUUAUUACAUUUUUUUUCACUUUUUUAAGGAUUAAAAGCUUGAAUUUGACUCUCUCUUUUUUUUUUCUUUUUUUUUUGGUUGGGGGUUUGAAGGUAUGCCACACAAGUAACCUUAGGUGACGGUAAAUUUAUGGUGUUCGGAGGUCGAGAUUUUCCGACAUAUGAAUUUGUUCCACCAGAAGGCAAGAAAAACACCCACCAAGAUGUGGUCGAUUUCAAGUUCUUGGUGGAAACACACGAUCCCGUGGAGAAUAAUUUGUACCCUUUCGUUUACCUUUCGACUGAUGGCAACGUCUUCAUCUUCGCUAAUAAUCGUUCGGUUCUUUUGAACCCUAAAACCCACAAUAUCAUCCACGAGUUUCCGGUGCUCCCU
rnacentral:lncRNA from 1 species